rnacentral:rRNA from 1 species
UACAGAGGUCUCAAGCGUUGUUCGGAUUCAUUGGGCGUAAAGGGCGCGUAGGCGGCGCGGUAAGUCGGGUGUGAAAUCCCGGGGCUUAACUCCGAAACUGCAUUCGAUACUGUCGUGCUUGAGGACUGGAGAGGAGACUGGAAUUUACGGUGUAGCGGUGAAAUGCGUAGAUAUCGGAAGGAAGACCAGUGGCGAAGGCGGGUCUCUGGACAGUGCCUGACGCUGAGGCACGAAGGCCAGGGGAGCAAACGGG